GACGAAGGUGGCAAGCGUUGUUCGGAAUCACUGGGCUUAAAGAGCACGUAGGCGGCUCAUCAAGUGUCUUGUGAAAUCCCUCGGCUCAACCGGGGAAUUGCUGGGCAGACUGAUCGAGCUUGAGGCAGGUAGGGGCGAGUGGAACUCUUGGUGGAGCGGUGGAAUGCGUAGAUAUCAAGAGGAACGCCGGAGGUGAAGACGACUCGCUGGGCCUGUCCUGACGCUGAGGUGCGAAAGCCAGGGGAGCAAACGGG
rnacentral:rRNA from 1 species